CGCGUCCCAGGGCAGGUCUCCUGGCUCUCACACAGGCAGAUACAGGGUAGCAGCAGCUCGCAUGAAGUGUGACUGUGCCUUUCUGUGUCUGCGUGGUUUCCUGCUGCGUCUACUCCCUCCACCCCCCAAAUCAUCUGGAGAGCAGAACUGAGUGGGGAACCAAGGUGGGGGCCAGGAGGCUUGAACCUGAGUCCUUGUGCAUUGUGACAUGUACACUCAACCAGGUUUGUCACCUGCUGCAGCUCCUCAGGGCAGAGAGGAACCUCUCAGCUGAUGAUGAUCUCCAGGUUCGACUCCUGGAUCUCUGCUGUGGGGCUGAGCUUUCUGUCCUGUCAGAGGGGCUGUUCUCCCAUCAGGGCCGGAAACAGCCCACCUGCUAUCUCUGAGUCUCCGUCUAGGUCUGGGAAGGACCCUUGUUUCUGAUGUGGGGUCUGGGACAGGACAGCUCUGGCCUCUGGGUGGAAUGUCACUUAUUUCUUUCUGCUCCUGGGGGAAGAACCAAGCUUGAACCAUUUUCUCCCAAGGCAGCAGAACUUCAGCUUGGUGGUGUCCAUCUGCACCUUCAUUUCUCCCUCUCAGCAGCUCAGAGCCAGGCUCUAUAACUCCCCCUCUCAUAAGAAAGGGAACUGAGACAUGGAGAGCUGCCUGCUGGUAAAUUUUUGUAAGCAAAACAAUGUGGGCUUGACCUCAGGACUUUCUGGUUGCAAAGAGCAAGCUGUCUGCAACACAGCAGGGGCCUCACACCCAGUGGAUUCUGCACUCAAGGGCAGAGGGGCCACUCUGUGUUCAAGAAUUAGCAUUUGGUGUCCAGUCCCCAAGGGAAUGUGAUGACCAUCUGAGACAUAAGCUCCUCCCACUGGCUCCUCACUGGGUCCGGGGGAUCCCUCCUGAGUGUUUUUCCUAUGAAAUGAGAGGGUGGUGUAAUGCACCUCCUGCUCAGUCCCCAAGGUGGGGACAGUGGGGACAUGUGGU